rnacentral:misc_RNA from 1 species
UCUCAGCCAUGGCCACCUCA